rnacentral:rRNA from 1 species
UCGGGUUGUAAAGCACUUUUGUCCGGAAAGAAAACCUUCGCUCGAAUACAGCGGGGGGAUGACGGUACCGGAAGAAUAGGCACCGGCUAACUACGUGCCAGCAGCGCGGUAAUCGUAGGGUGCGAGCGUUAAUCGGAAUUACUGGGCGUAAAGCGUGCGCAGGCGGUUCGUUAAGACAGAUGUGAAAUCCCCGGGCUUAACCUGGGAACUGCAUUUGUGACUGGCGAGCUAGAGUAUGGCAGAGGGGGGUAGAAUUCCACGUGUAGCAGUGAAAUGCGUAGAGAUGUGGAGGAAUACCGAUGGCGAAGGCAGCCCCCUGGGCCAAUACUGACGCUCAUGCACGAAAGCGUGGGGAGCAAACAGGAUUAGAUACCCUGGUAGUCCACGCCCUAAACGAUGUCAACUAGUUGUUGGGGAUUCAUUUCCUUAGUAACGUAGCUAACGCGUGAAGUUGACCGCCUGGGGAGUACGGUCGCAAGAUUAAAACUCAAAGGAAUUGACGGGGACCCGCACAAGCGGUGGAUGAAUGUGGAUUAAUUCGAUGCAACGCGAAAAACCUUACCUACCCUUGACAUGGUCGGAACCCUGCUG